GCACCAGUGGUGUAUGGGACACGCAGUCAACUUCGUAUGUUCGUUUAAUGAAUAGUGAUUGAGUCCGGGGUUCGAUUCCCCACUGGUGCA